rnacentral:rRNA from 1 species
CCGCCGGAAGCGAGUGAAAAGGGUCACUCCGGCGGGCGCUGCCUCCCGCUCCCGCUUCAUUGACGGGGCGGGCGGCCAGCAGGCCACCGCUUUUACUGUGAAAAACUCAGAGUGCUCAGAGCAGGCCUCGCGGGGGCCUUCCAUCCCCGCGGCAAGGCCCGAAUGUAAUCUCAUGGAAUAAUGGAAGACGACCUCGGCCCAGUUGUUUGUGGCGCGAUUUUAGUGGCCGCCGAGGUAAUGAUUAACAGGGACCGACGGGGGCAGUCGUACUGCGACGCGAGAGGUGAAAUUCUGAGACCGUCGCAUGACGCCCUACCGCGAAGGCAGCUGA